rfam:Aureobasidium pullulans var. pullulans EXF-150 unplaced genomic scaffold scaffold_15, whole genome shotgun sequence.
GCCGGGGUAGCUCAAUCGGUAGAGCGUGUGGCUCUUAUCAAUUGAUAUCGUCAACCUCAAGGUCGCGGGUUCGAGCCCCGCCUUCGGCU